UUACACAAUCAGUGUUGAAGA
rnacentral:piRNA from 1 species